UACGGAGGGUGCAAACGUUGCUCGGAAUCAUUGGGCGUAAAGCGCACGUAGGCGGCCCAGCAAGCGGGGAGUGAAAGCCCUCGGCUUAACCGAGGAAGUGCUUUCCGAACUACUGGGCUUGAAUACUGGAGAGGGUCGCGGAAUUCCCGGUGUAGAGGUGAAAUUCGUAGAUAUCGGGAGGAACACCAGUGGCGAAGGCGGCGACCUGGACAGAUAUUGACGCUGAGGUGCGAAAGCGUGGGGAGCAAACAGG
rnacentral:rRNA from 1 species